CCCUUAGAUGUUCGGGGCCGCACGCGCGCUACACUGAAGGAAUCAGCGUGCUUUUGUCCUGGUCUGGAAAGACUGGGUAACCCGUUGAACCUCCUUCGUGCUAGGGAUUGGGGCUUGCAAUUAUUCCCCAUGAACGAGGAAUUCCCAGUAAGCGCAAGUCAUCAGCUUGUGUUGAUUACGUCCCUGCCCUUUGUACACACCGCCCGUCGCUACUACCGAUUGAAUGGUUUAGUGAGACCCUCGGAUUCGUCCCAGCACAGUGGGUUUCUGCUGAGCUGGUGCGCGGAGAAGACGGUCGAACUUGAUCAUUUAGAGGAAGUAAAAGUUGUAACA
rnacentral:rRNA from 1 species